rfam:Helianthus annuus linkage group 15, whole genome shotgun sequence.
AGACCAUGAUGUGGGCAUUUCCUUAAUAACUCCUUGAACUUUUUCCAUGUUUCGUGCAAGGAUUCCCCGUCUUCUUGAGAGUAGGAGUUAAUCUUGGUCAUGAGUUU